AGAAUCAACGCUGGCGGCGUGCCUAACACAUGCAAGUCGAACGCGAAAGUCCCGAAAGGGAUUAGUAGAGUGGCAAACGGGUGAGUAACACGUGGGUGACCUGCCUUCGAGUGGGGGAUAACGUCCCGAAAGGGACGCUAAUACCGCAUGACAUCCUGCCUUUGAAGAGGUGGAGAUCAAAGCUGGGGAUCGCAAGACCUAGCGCUCAAAGAGGGGCCCGCGCCUGAUUAGCUAGUUGGCGAGGUAACGGCUCACCAAGGCAACGAUCAGUA
rnacentral:rRNA from 1 species